GACGAACGCUGGCGGCGUGCUUAACACAUGCAAGUCGAACGGAAAGGCACUGCUUUUGUGGGGUGCUCGAGUGGCGAACGGGUGAGUAACACGUGAGUAGCCUGCCCUUGACUUUGGGAUAACUUCAGGAAACUGGGGCUAAUACCGGAUAGGAGCUCCUGCUGCAUGGUGGGGGUUGGAAAGUUUCGGCGGUUGGGGAUGGACUCGCGGCUUAUCAGCUUGUUGGUGGGGUAGUGGCUUACCAAGGCUUUGACGGGUAGCCGGCCUGAGAGGGUGACCGGCCACAUUGGGACUGAGAUACGGCCCAGACUCCUACGGGAGGCAGCAGUGGGGAAUAUUGCACAAUGGGCGGAAGCCUGAUGCAGCAACGCCGCGUGCGGGAUGACGGCCUUCGGGUUGUAAACCGCUUUCGCCUGUGACGAAGCGUGAGUGACGGUAAUGGGUAAAGAAGCACCGGCUAACUACGUGCCAGCAGCCGCGGUGAUACGUAGGGUGCGAGCGUUGUCCGGAUUUAUUGGGCGUAAAGGGCUCGUAGGUGGUUGAUCGCGUCGGAAGUGUAAUCUUGGGGCUUAACCCUGAGCGUGCUUUCGAUACGGGUUGACUUGAGGAAGGUAGGGGAGAAUGGAAUUCCUGGUGGAGCGGUGGAAUGCGCAGAUAUCAGGAGGAACACCAGUGGCGAAGGCGGUUCUCUGGGCCUUUCCUGACGCUGAGGAGCGAAAGCGUGGGGAGCGAACAGGCUUAGAUACCCUGGUAGUCCACGCUGUAAACGGUGGGUACUAGGUGUGGGGUCCAUUCCACGGGUUCCGUGCCGUAGCUAACGCUUUAAGUACCCCGCCUGGGGAGUACGGCCGCAAGGCUAAAACUCAAAGGAAUUGACGGGGCCCCGCACAAGCGGCGGAGCAUGCGGAUUAAUUCGAUGCAACGCGUAGAACCUUACCUGGGUUUGACAUGGAUCGGGAGUGCUCAGAGAUGGGUGUGCCUCUUUUGGGGUCGGUUCACAGGUGGUGCAUGCCUGUCGUCAGCUCGUGUCGUGAGAUGUUGGGUUAAGUCCCGCAACGAGCGCAACCCUUGUUCACUGUUGCCAGCACGUUAUGGUGGGGACUCAGUGUAGACCGCCGGGGUCAACUCGGAGGAAGGUGGGGAUGACGUCAAGUCAUCAUGCCCCUUAUGUCCAGGGCUUCACGCAUGCUACAAUGGCUGGUACAGAGAGUGGCGAGCCUGUGAGGGUGAGCGAAUCUCGGAAAGCCGGUCUCAGUUCGGAUUGGGGUCUGCAACUCGACCUCAUGAAGUCGGAGUCGCUAGUAAUCGCAGAUCAGCAACGCUGCGGUGAAUACGUUCCCGGGGGU
rnacentral:rRNA from 1 species